rnacentral:rRNA from 1 species
AACGAACGCUGGCGGCAGGCUUAACACAUGCAAGUCGAACGAUGCCUUCGGGCAUAGUGGCGCACGGGUGCGUAACGCGUGGGAAUCUGCCCUUGGGUUCGGAAUAACUCAGAGAAAUUUGAGCUAAUACCGGAUGAUGACGUAAGUCCAAAGAUUUAUCGCCCAAGGAUGAGCCCGCGUAAGAUUAGCUAGUUGGUGUGGUAAAGGCCUACCAAGGCGACGAUCUUUAGCUGGUCUGAGAGGAUGAUCAGCCACACUGGGACUGAGACACGGCCCAGACUCCUACGGGAGGCAGCAGUGGGGAAUAUUGGACAAUGGGCGAAAGCCUGAUCCAGCAAUGCCGCGUGAGUGAUGAAGGCCUUAGGGUUGUAAAGCUCUUUUACCAGGGAUGAUAAUGACAGUACCUGGAGAAUAAGCUCCGGCUAACUCCGUG